ACUGUGUAGACUUUAGGCAAUGUG
rnacentral:piRNA from 1 species